GAGGGGGAGCAGCGUGUCCCGAGGUCCGGAAACAAAACAGAACCAACAGCUGCUCAAAAUGAAAAAGCUCGUUUUCAGGGUAAACAGCAACAAACGGUUGAAGAGCUGAUUUAUUCAUUUAAAGACGAGCAACAGGUUUGGAGUUAGAACUAAAAGUCACAAGAAGCAGAAGCUUCCUCUGUUUGACCAAUGGACGUCAACAGCGUUUUAAUGUUUACUGGUCACAGCUGUCUGUAAAAUGCUUCACUGCCUCCAGACGGAGAAGCACAAAGCACAGUUUCCCUCAGCGCCACAUUGACAAUGACAGUUAAACUCUCAGCACUGAGUUUGUGACCUCACCUGUUCAAGGGUUGAGCCUGGACAGAGAUGUACCCAGACAGAACCCAAUGAUCACAGGAAGAACCCUGACGUUCCCAGACAGAACCCUGACGUUCCCAUAGAGAACCCUUAUGAACUCGAACAGAACCCUGACGUUCCCAUAGAGAACCCUUAUGAACCCGGACAGAACCCCAAUGGACUCGGAGAACCCAGAUCCUUCCAGCAGGGACCAAACGGCCGUGCGUUUGACCAGCAGCUCCACUCAGCGUCUGGACCCGAGCAGUGGACGGGUGUGAGGGGCUUCAGCCACUGCUUUGCAGCGUGCGCAUGAGUGGAAGCAGAUGAUGCUGGGAGCUGUGAGUUCACGUUAAUGGAAGGAAAAUGUCGCCACCUUGUGUUAAGAUGUGAAACUGCAGAAAAACGUGGACAGAAAAUGAGAGGAAAACAGAAACUGAACGGGAAAGACCUCAGUCUUUUGAUCUGAGACUGAUACUGAUGAGAAUCUGUUGACACAUGGUUUCCACGGUGACAUAUGAUGGAAACCUUUCAACAAUGUGAACAAUAAUCAAGGAAACAGGUGACGUGAGGAAGGUCGUCCUGGAGCAGACGUGGUGUCCGUGAGGCUCCGUUAGACACAGACGACCGGCGCCUGAGCUGAGCGUUCACUCCCUUCAUGAUCUGAUGCUGGAGUCCAUCCAGAGGCUGUGAGUGGUUGCCGGGGCGACGGGAGCAGCAUCCAAAGCACAGAGAUGAGCACCUGAAACACCUGAGUCAGCGUUCAGCAACGCAGGGACUGAAGCCAUGAUGGAGGAAAGCGAUGACGAAGCCAGACUUUAAAGCGAUCUGCCUUUUACACAUUCGUCCUCUACCGUGUAAACGAUAGUAUCACUAAAUGAUAAAACUGAACUGGUUGCUAGGAAA